rnacentral:pre_miRNA from 1 species
AAAGUACUCCCUCCGUCCCAAAAUUCUUGUCUUAGAUUUGUCUAGAUACGGAUGUAUCUAAUACUAAAAUGUGACUUGAUAUAUCCGUAUUUAGACAAAUCUAAGACAAGAAUUUUGGGACGGAGGGAGUAGUAU